GGAGUUAGCCGGUGCUUCUUCUGCGAGUAACGUCACAGAUGUAAGGUAUUAACUUACACCCUUUCCUCCUCGCUGAAAGUGCUUUACAACCCGAAGGCCUUCUUCACACACGCGGCAUGGCUGCAUCAGGGUUUCCCCCAUUGUGCAAUAUUCCCCACUGCUGCCUCCCGUAGGAGUCUGGGCCGUGUCUCAGUCCCAGUGUGGCUGAUCAUCCUCUCAGACCAGCUAGGGAUCGUCGCCUAGGUGAGCCUUUACCUCACCUACUAGCUAAUCCCACCUGGGCUUAUCCAUCAGCGCAAGGCCCGAAGGUCCCCUGCUUUCCCCCGUAGGGCGUAUGCGGUAUUAGCAGUCGUUUCCAACUGUUAUCCCCCACAAAUGGGCAAAUUCCCAGGCAUUACUCACCCGUCCGCCGCUCGUCAUCUUCAAAAGCAAGCUUUUGAAAUGUUACCGCUCGACUUGCAUGUGUUAGGCCUGCCGCCAGCGUUCAAUCUGAGCCAUAGUACUAACUAAACCUUCGUACGUACGUAGGACGGGCGGGUCGGUCGGAACGGAACGGGCCGACUAAGUAG
rnacentral:rRNA from 1 species